CCUCACCCUGAAUGUUGUAAGUCAUCUCCUUCGGAAGUUCCUUAGACAUGUCCGCUUUGAUAAACACCUUCGCCUCUUCAAAUUUUGUGCAAGCAAUCGUUUCCGGAUGCAAUCGAUCUGGCAUUCCUACAGCACUGGUGAUAAAGCUUAGUCCAUCCCAUGAGUACAUGCUCAUAGGGACGUUUGUGAGAUGCACCCACAAUGGAAGAAGCUUCGUUUUUGAGUCAUCUUCUUUAGGAUCCCAUUUAGACACCACCAUAGGAACCCCUGCAAUAUUCCACAUCCCUCUUCUUACAAAUCUUUCACGCACAAGCUUGUUUGGAAUACGGACUC
rnacentral:lncRNA from 1 species